CCGCCCGUAGCACAGUUGGAUAAUGCAGCAGAUUCCGAUUCUGAAGACCGGGGGUUCGAAUCCCUUCGGGCGGGCCA
rnacentral:tRNA from 1 species